rnacentral:rRNA from 1 species
AGCGAACGCUGGCGGCAGGCUUAACACAUGCAAGUCGAACGGGCAUCUUCGGAUGUCAGUGGCAGACGGGUGAGUAACACGUGGGAACGUACCCUUCGGUUCGGAAUAACUCAGGGAAACUUGAGCUAAUACCGGAUACGCCCUUUUGGGGAAAGGUUUACUGCCGAAGGAUCGGCCCGCGUCUGAUUAGCUUGUUGGUGGGGUAACGGCCUACCAAGGCGACGAUCAGUAGCUGGUCUGAGAGGAUGAUCAGCCACACUGGGACUGAGACGCGGCCCAGACUCCUACGGGAGGCAGCAGUGGGGAAUAUUGGACAAUGGGCGCAAGCCUGAUCCAGCCAUGCCGCGUGAGUGAUGAAGGCCUUAGGGUUGUAAAGCUCUUUUGUCCGGGACGAUAAUGACGGUACCGGAAGAAUAAGCCCCGGCUAACUUCGUG